UUAAAUUGAAGAGUUUGAUCAUGGCUCAGAUUGAACGCUGGCGGCAGGCCUAACACAUGCAAGUCGAACGGUAACAGGAAGCAGCUUGCUGUUUCGCUGACGAGUGGCGGACGGGUGAGUAAUGUCUGGGAAACUGCCUGAUGGAGGGGGAUAACUAC
rnacentral:rRNA from 1 species